rnacentral:rRNA from 1 species
UACGUAGGUGGCAAGCGUUGUCCGGAUUUAUUGGGUUUAAAGGGUGCGUAGGCGGCCCUGUAAGUCAGUUCUGAAAUAUCCCGGCUUAACCGGGAGGGUGGGAUUGAUACUGCGGGGCUUGAGUGAACUCGAGGUAGGCGGAAUUGACGGUGUAGCGGUGAAAUGCUUAGAUAUCGUCAAGAACACCGAUAGUGUAGACAGCUUACUAGAUUUUAACUGACGCUGAGGCACGAAAGUGUGGGGAUCAAAC